UUGAAAUACUGGAUCUCGUACGAUCACGAAAGUUAAGCAACGUCGAGCCUGGUCAGAACCCAGAUGGGUGAGCACUUGGGAAUACCAGGUACUGUAA